CCGCGAUAACUCAGCUGGUAGAGUAUCUGUCAGGUAAGCGGAAUGUCGCCGGUUCAAUUUCGGGUGCGAA
rnacentral:tRNA from 1 species